GCCCGCGUGGCGGAAUUGGUAGACGCAAGGGACUUAAAAUCCCUUGAUCUUUAUGGUCGUGCAGGUUCAAGUCCUGCCGCGGGCACCA
rnacentral:tRNA from 1 species